GCCGAAGUGGUGGAAUUGGUAGACGCGCUGCGUUCAGGGCGCAGUGGGCGCAAGCCCGUGGGGGUUCGAGUCCCCCCUUCGGCA
rnacentral:tRNA from 5 species